UACGAGAGGAACCGUUGA
rnacentral:siRNA from 1 species